GGGUCAGUAGGUUGGUCGUGUCACCGGUACGUACUGGUCUCACUGAUUCCUCCUUCCUGAAGAACCGUAAUGCCAUUAAUUUGGUGUUGCGGGGAAACAGGACUGUUACUUUGAAAAAAUUAGAGCGUUUAAAGCAAGCUAACGCUUGAAUACAUUAGCAUGGAAUAAUGAAAUAGGACGAUCGAUCCUAUUUUGUUGGUUUCUAGGAUUGACGUA
rnacentral:rRNA from 1 species